GAUGAACGCUGGCGGCGUGCUUAACACAUGCAAGUCGAACGAAGAUACUUAAAAUGAGAGCUUCGGCAGGAUUUUUAUUUAUUUUAGUGGCGGACGGGUGAGUAACGUGUGGGCGACCUGCCUAUACUGGGGAAUAAUCACUGGAAACGGUGACUAAUACCGCAUGUCAUUACGGAAGGGCAUCCUUCUGUAAGAAAAGGAGAAAUUCGGUAUAGGAUGGGCCCGCAUCUGAUUAGCUAGUUGGUGAGAUAACAGCCCACCAAGGCGACGAUCAGUAGCCGACCUGAGAGGGUGAUCGGCCACAUUGGGACUGAGACACGGCCCAAACUCCUACGGGAGGCAGCAGUGGGGAAUAUUGCACAAUGGGGGAAACCCUGAUGCAGCAACGCCGCGUGAAGGAUGAAGGUUUUCGGAUCGUAAACUUCUAUCAAUAGGGACGAAGAAAGUGACGGUACCUAAAUAAGAAGCCCCGGCUAACUACGUGCCAGCCGCCGCCGUAAAAC
rnacentral:rRNA from 1 species